rnacentral:rRNA from 1 species
AAGAGACUGCCGGUGAUAAGCCGCGAGGAAGGUGGGGAUGACGUCAAGUCCUCAUGGCCCUUACGGGCUGGGCUACACACGUGCUACAAUGGCGGUGACAAUGGGAUGCUAAGGGGCGACCCUUCGCAAAUCUCAAAAAGCCGUCUCAGUUCGGAUUGGAGUCUGCAACUCGACUCCAUGAAGUUGGAAUCGCUAGUAAUCGUGGAUCAGCAUGCCACGGUGAAUACGUUCCCGGGCCUUGUACACACCGCCCGUCACACCAUGGGAGUUGGUUCUACCUGAAGGCAGUGCGCUAACCCGCAAGGGAGGCAGCUGACCACGGUAGGGUCAGCGACUGGGGUGAAGUCGUAACAAGGUAACC